rnacentral:rRNA from 1 species
UCGAGAAUCAUUCACAAUGGGCGAAAGCCUGAUGGUGCGACGCCGCGUGGGGGAAGAAGGUCUUCGGAUUGUAAACCCCUGUCAUGUGGGAGCAAGCUAGAGAUAGCAGAUAGUACCACAAGAGGAAGCACCGGCUAACUCCGUGCCAGCAGCCGCGGUAAUACGGAGGGUGCGAGCGUUAAUCGGAAUCACUGGGCGUAAAGCGCACGUAGGCGGCGUGGUAAGUCGGGGGUGAAAUCCCACAGCUCAACUGUGGAACUGCCUUCGAUACUGCCAUGCUUGAGUGUCGGAGAGGGUGGCGGAAUUCCGGGUGUAGGAGUGAAAUCCGUAGAUAUCCGGAGGAACACCGGUGGCGAAGGCGGCCACCUGGACGAAAACUGACGCUGAGGUGCGAAAGCGUGGGUAGCAAACA